CCAUUCCAAGCGCUUAGUACAGUGCUCUGCACAUAGUAAGCGCUCAAUAAAUACGAUUGGAUGAAUGUGUCCGGGCAGGGCCUGGCUUCUUCAACUGCCCCUUCCGCUUCUCCGAGACCCACCCGGCACGAGGCAGAGUUCACACCAGUUCGCCCCUGGCCCGCGUCUUCGCUUCUCUGCGCCUCAGUUACCUCAUCUGUAAAAUGGGCAUUAAAUCCUCCCGCCAACUUAGACCGUUAGAAUGGGGUGACAGGGACUGUGUCUGACCUGAUUAACUUGUAUCUACCCCAGCGCUUACAACGGUGCGUGGUACAUAGUAAGCGCUUCGCGAGAACCACAGACGACAACUCCCGCCCCAAAACCUGAGCGGCGCAGGCCGGCGGGGGUGGGGACCGGCAAGAUGGACCGCCCCCAGAGCUCCCCUCACCAAGUCACGACGGUGGGUCGACGACCUCUGCGCCGGCAAAUGGCGGCCGGGGCACCGGAACGAGAAUUUAAAAACCGAACGGGAAUCAAGAAAAUCACCUGCGUGAGUGAAGGGUCCUCCUAAUGGGUUCCGAGUCGUCGGAGCCGGGGGCGGGGGAGGAUUUUUUGUUGUUUUUGCAGCUGGCGACACAGCCGACCAACGCCCGCUCUGCCGGCGGCCUUCUGAGCAGCCACGUGGCCUAGCGAGACGCAGGGUGGCCUGGAGGAUAGAGCACGGGCCUGGGAGUCAGAAGGAUCUGGGUUCUAGUCUCAUCUCGGCCGCCCGUCUGCCGGGUGACCUUGCGCGGGUCAUUUCGCUUCCUUGGGCCUCGGCGCCCUCAUCUGUAAAAUGGGGAUUACGAUUGGGAGCCCCACGUGGGACAGGGAUCGUGCCCAACCCGACUGGCUUGUACCCACGGUGCCUGGCGCACAGUGAGCGCUUAACGAGUACCACAAUUAUUAUUAUUCCGGUCGCCGUCUCCGGCCCUGACCCCUCUCUGCCUUCCCCACACAGCCUACUGGCCCUUAAACGCAGCAGAGCUGACUCAGAGAUCAUUUCCCGGCCGUGCCCUGGGCUCCGCGGGGGCCCGGAGAAGCCAAGUGACUUGCCCAAGGUCACAAGCACAACCCCGGUCCCCCAACCAGGCGACUCGCCACCGGACAGAAACGGCAGAGAAAAGGCGGGUGCGUCUUUCGGGAGCCAGGUCGAGCUUUCACGCGUCGGGCCGGGGUAACGACGUCCGCAGGAAGGAAGGCUUCUGGGGAAAAGCCGAGACAUCCUCCCGGGGUCUCCCGGGGAUGCCGUGAAUUCAAAAUACGUGUCCGGGUCUUUUUUUUCGAGGGUGGGACCUGAGCCGGGAGUUUCGCGCGCCUUCCUUCAAAUCCAAACGUACCGUGAAGGGAGGCAUUCAGGCUUGUUUGCUCUGAUAAUUGCUGUGGAGGCUCUGGCCUCCCAACUGGUUUUAGAAAGCCCCGUCCAUCCGUCUUUCUUUCCGAUCCUCCUUUUUAGUUUCGGUUCCCUCGGCGACGGCAGAUCAGAGCGAGGAUGUGUGUAAGGGAGCCAGCAUAUGGGACUUCAACGACAGAAAAUUCAGAAAAAUAAGUGAUGCUUCGCCUCAAAACGGUCCUUCGUUAACGUGAGAUAAUCGUGGUUUGGGGGUUCUUGAAAAUAAUGACUUUAAACACUAUUUAAAAGCGUGAAUGUUGUGAGUGUUCAGAGAGUGAAUUUCCCCGCUUGGAUUUUUCUAGGCCUCUAAAGACACGCUCGAAAAAUCAUCGGUCUAAACAGACAGCCAGAAGGUCCUGAAUCAAGAUAAAUGAUAAUGUGCAGUCAAAGAAAAAGUUGAAUAAAAACUUCCCCUUUUAUAAAA